GCGCGCUCAGGUCGCGCAGGAACACCACGAUGACCGUUAUGUUGUCGCUCGAGCCCGCGUCCCGGGCUGACGCCACGAGCUUGUGAGCCACCAUGCUGCUGUCGCCGUUGUUCUCCUUGAGGUGGUCGGACACUACCCUGACCGCCUCCUCGGGCUCCAUGGUGUCGUAGAAACCAUCGCAGGCGAGGAUGAGGUAGUCUUCGGUGCCGUCCAGCACGGUGGAGUCGCUGUCCGCCUCGCCGCAGAUGUACGGCUUGUGCUCGGCAUCGCCUGGGGAUGAGGAGGGAUGAGUUCUUCGUGUCAAUGGCAAGUCUUUCACCCAGCUGCAGCAGAUCUCGUGGAGUUUGGUGAACACCAUUCGGGACAGCCUUGUUGAGUCAAACUCUGGAAAUGUAUAAAAUCAAUCCCUUAUUCAACCCACAGACAGCAGAGGAAAAAUCAAAUCAAAGGAAAUUACUGCAGUGGCUGGAAAUCUGAAAUAAAAACAGAGAUUGCUGGAGAAACUCAACAAGUCUGACAGCAUUUGUGGAGAGAGAAACAGAGUUAACACUUCAAGUCAAAAUAAUUCUUCAAACUGCAAAAGCAAAUCUGUUUGAAUUGCGAUGUCCCUGAACAAAUCAAUUAGAAGAAGAACUAGACCAUUUGGCCCUUCGAGCCUGUUCGACCAUUGGAUAAGAUCAUGGCUUAUUUGAUUAUGGCUCAGGCAUUGAGUACAUUAGCUUUCUGCAUGUUAGAAAACUGAAGGGAUGUGAUCUGAUUUAUCACCAGAAAAAACCUGGGGAGAAAAGGUGAAAAAAAAACAAAAAUCUGCAGCCCCUGGCAGGUGAAAAA